GAUGAACGCUGGCGGCGUGCCUAACACAUGCAAGUCGAACGGAGUCGUUUUGGAAAUCUCUUCGGAGAUGGAAUUCUCGACUUAGUGGCGGACGGGUGAGUAACGCGUGAGCAAUCUGCCUUUAAGAGGGGGAUAACAGUCGGAAACGGCUGCUAAUACCGCAUAAAGCAUUAAAUUCGCAUGUUUUUGAUGCCAAAGGAGCAAUCCGCUUUUAGAUGAGCUCGCGUCUGAUUAGCUAGUUGGCGGGGUAACGGCCCACCAAGGCGACGAUCAGUAGCCGGACUGAGAGGUUGAACGGCCACAUUGGGACUGAGACACGGCCCAGACGCCUACGGGAGGCAGCAGUGGGGAAUAUUGCGCAAUGGGGGAAACCCUGACGCAGCAACGCCGCGUGAUUGAAGAAGGCCUUCGGGGUGUAAAGAUCUUUAAUCAGGGACGAAACAAAUGACGGUACCUGAAGAAUAAGCUCCGGCUAACUACGUG
rnacentral:rRNA from 1 species